CCCGUCUUGAAACACGGACCAAGGAGUCCAACGUGUGCGCGAGUCGUUGGGCGUUAAAACCCAAAGGCGCAAUUAAGGUGAAGGGAAGCUUGUCUUCCCUAGGGAGGAGGGGGGCACCGACCCUCACGGGCGGACUCCCCGCACUCCCGCGGCGUCUCAGGCUCAUCGCGAGCCGAGGCGGACCUAGAGCGUUCACGUUGGGACCCGAAAGAUGGUGAACUAUGCCUGGCCAGGACGAAGCCAGGGGAAACCCUGGUGGAGGUCCGUAGCGGUUCUGACGUGCAAAUCGAUCGUCGGAGCUGGGUAUAGGGGCGAAAGACUAAUCGAACCAUCUAGUAGCUGGUUCCCUCCGAAGUUUCCCUCAGGAUAGCUGGCGCCCAGGUUGAGACGAGUCUCAUCUGGUAAAGCGAAUGAUUAGAGGCAUUGGGGUCGAAACGACCUCAACCUAUUCUCAAACUUUAAAUGGAUGAGAACCCCGGCUUGCUUGAUCGAGUGAAGCUGGGGCUCGGAUCCGGGUGCCAAGUGGGCCAAUUUUGGUAAGCAGAACUGGCGCUGUGG
rnacentral:rRNA from 1 species